UACGGAGGGGGCUAGCGUUGUUCGGAAUUACUGGGCGUAAAGCGCACGUAGGCGGCUUUGUAAGUUAGAGGUGAAAGCCCGGGGCUCAACUCCGGAAUUGCCUUUAAGACUGCAUCGCUAGAACGUCGGAGAGGUGAGUGGAAUUCCGAGUGUAGAGGUGAAAUUCGUAGAUAUUCGGAGGAACACCAGUGGCGAAGGCGGCUCACUGGCUCGAUACUGACGCUGAGGUGCGAAAGCGUGGGGAGCAAACAGG
rnacentral:rRNA from 1 species